AUUGAACGCUGGCGGCAGGCCCAACACAUGCAAGUCGGGCGGAUGAAGGGAGCUUGCUCCUGGAUUCAGCGGCGGACGGGUGAGUAAUGCCUAGGAAUCUGCCUGGUAGCGGGGGAUAACGUCCGGAAACGGGCGCUAAUACCGCAUACGUCCUGAGGGAGAAAGUGGGGGAUCUUCGGACCUCACGCUAUCAGAUGAGCCUAGGUCGGAUUAGCUAGUUGGUGGGGUAAAGGCCUACCAAGGCGACGAUCCGUAACUGGUCUGAGAGGAUGAUCAGUCACACUGGAACUGAGACACGGUCCAGACUCCUACGGGAGGCAGCAGUGGGGAAUAUUGGACAAUGGGCGAAAGCCUGAUCCAGCCAUGCCGCGUGUGUGAAGAAGGUCUUCGGAUUGUAAAGCACUUUAAGUUGGGAGGAAGGGCAGUAAGUUAAUACCUUGCUGUUUUGACGUUACCAACAGAAUAAGCACCGGCUAACUUCGUG
rnacentral:rRNA from 1 species